ACGGAAGUCGGAAAACAGAUUUAAACCAAGUUUGAACGCUGCUUCUGUUUGCCAGUACUGUGAGAAAACGCUGUUACAGGAGAGGGCUGGAUGCUAAAACAAACUGUGGAGCUGCUUUUUUUGUGGUUAAUGAAGAGAUAUGAAAGCUAAAACAAAGUCUGGAGCUGUUUUUUGUCGAACAAGAGUGAGGUUGGACGGUGAAUACACGUGCGGCGCGAAGGUUUACUGGUUGAGCUGCUGCAGCCUGGACAGAAACACCAGCUCUCACCUUACAAACCAAACAGGUGUCACCAUUUUGUCCACAAUCACAGAGCAUCUUCGUCCAGACCAGGACUGAGGCCUCCAGAUGUCACCACUUCAUCCAUGACAUCGUCCACAAUCACCAAGAUGUCAUCCACAAUCAGAGGCAUUGUCCAUGAUCAGAGAGACAUGGUCAAAAAUCACAGCGACCAAGUCAAUUUGAAGGCAUCGUCCACAACCAGAGUGAGAUGAUCACAGAGACACACACAUAGUCCAAGGUCACUUGAUGCCUUCAUAUACUAUGACAUUUUUCCUGUUUUUGACACCUUAGUAUACUAUGACAUUUUUUGGCCAUUUCUGAAGCCGUUUUUGUACUGUUAAUGUUGUUAACGAUAUUGUUACACUAAUACAUCUUUAUUUAUAUCAUGCCUGUUUCUAUUUUUGCUGCUGCAACAGUGAAUAUUCUG